ensembl:lncRNA
UACCCACGUGAGCAUUGAAGUCUCCCAGCAGGACAACAGAGUCUCCAGGUGGAGCACCUUCCAGCACCCCACCUAGGGACUCUAAGAAGGCUGGGUACUCUGAACUGCCACUCGGCGCAUAAGUGCAGAUGACAGUCAGGACCCGCUCCCCCACCCUAAGGCGCAGGGAACAAACCCUCUCAUCCACCGGGAAAAACUCCAACGUACCGGCAGCAAGCCAAGGGGAUAUUAGAAUACCCACCUCAGCCCGCCGCCUCUCACCAGGGGCAACUCCAGACUGAGACAGAGUCCAGCCCCUCUCCAGGAGACUGGUUCCAGAGCCCAAGCCAUGCGUAAAGGUGAGCCCGACUAUGAUUAGCCGGUACCUCUCAACCUCACUCACUAACUCAGGCUCCUUCCCCACCAGAGAGGUGACAUUCCAUGUCCCGAUUGCCAGUCUUGGCAGCCAGGGAUCAGUCCGCCAAGGCCUCCGCUCCUGGCCGUCGCCCAGCACACAAUGCACCCAACCCCUAUGGCGCCUCCUGCGGGUGGUGGGCCUGCGGGAAGAUGGGCCCAUGUCCCCUCUUCGGGCUGUGCCCGGCCGGGCCCCAUGGACUAUGGCCUGGCUCCAGGGCGGGGCCCCGGUAACCCUAUCCCAGGCAGGUGUCUGCAGGUCUUACCACCUAGAUGUAAAGUCACUUCAGGAUCCAGCUUUCCUCUCCUAGUCAACCUUGGAGCUUGGAUGCAGAACUGAUGAGUGGAGAAUCAACAUCAAAGAAGAAGAAGGACAGGAGGAAGUCUGGAAGAAGCCACACAACCUCAUUAUGGAGACUAGGAGACCUUUUGUCCUCCCUGGAAGCUCUUUCUGUAAAAUAGUCCUCAGUUGCAUCUCAAACUGCUAAUUUUUGCAGGAUAAAUACUUUAAAAGACUUUGCCUGUCUUGGUAGGUUCAUCAUCACACCUGAGCUGUUCUGGAGGCGAGGAUUGCAGGAGUGCAGAGGUUCAGCUGAAAAAUCAAAUUAAACAAAGUGUGAAAGACAUGGCACAUCAGCUCCAGGACACAGUUUGGACAAAUACCACAGAGUGGCAUCCACUCAAAUCGAAUUAAAUCAGAACGCAUUAACAAGACUUUGACCGACACAAAUAAGGUCUUAACAGACUUGAGGUCAAGGCUGUCAGAUCUUCUUUCUUAUCACGUCAACAAACUUCCUGCAAAGGACUCCAGCUUCGACACAGUUUGACCUUUUAAUUUAAACACGAGCAUUGUCUGCAGAGAUGUGAGGGACUGGAGAGAAUGACAGGCUGGAUAAGCGAGCAGGAAGAACACAGCUGUUUUCUUAUAAUUAAAUGUUUGAUGUGAUAGAAUCAAAUGGUAGUAAUUAGAAGUUUUUACUGGUGAGGACUGUGCAAAAACAGAGUAAAAUAUAAGAGUACUAAAAGGGCGAAAACAUUGGUUAUAUAAAGUCUAUAAUCUGUGUAUAGCUGUAUGUUGAUUGUGUCCCUGUGCUUUGUCUUAACUUUAAAUUGUACAUUUUGAAAUGUCAUUUUAUUGUACCAUUAACAGUAUGUGCCAUAGAGUAUCUUGUAAUCUGGCAGUAUUGUGAGGAACUAAAAAGGGAGUAAGUGCUGGACUCGAACUGUGGAUAGGUUUUGUAUUGUUGUAUCUUUCUUAUUUUUGUUUCCUGUCAUCCUUCGCUGUCUCACAACAAGAAAAGAACGAAAGGAAGAAAUGAGUCUAACUUACAAUAAAUGUGUUAAUGGAAAGAGCAAAAGAACUUAACAGGUUAUGUGUUUUUGUUUUGGUGCUGAGGUUAGUUGCCUUCAGGUUGGUAGGCUACCGGUUUGGCCUACUCAGAAGGCCGAACUACUUAUACCCGUCUGAAAAACGUAACUUACACAUAUCUGUUUUUCUACACCCAUUGGGUUUAACAAAUAACUUACAGUUUUGGUCAGAAGUUUACGUACAGUCAUCUUGGGCAUGAAUGUCCAAAAAAAAAAGAAAGAACUGGAUCCCCAAGUUUAACAUAGUUUUGGAUUUUCUCUAAAACAUAAACAGGCACAGACCUGGCUUUUAAGCCUAGUGCACA